GAUGAACGCUAGCUACAGGCUUAACACAUGCAAGUCGAGGGGCAGCAUGGUCUUAGCUUGCUAAGGCCGAUGGCGACCGGCGCACGGGUGAGUAACACGUAUCCAACCUGCCGUCUACUCUUGGACAGCCUUCUGAAAGGAAGAUUAAUACAAGAUGGCAUCAUGAGUCCGCAUGUUCACAUGAUUAAAGGUAUUCCGGUGGACGAUGGGGAUGCGUUCCAUUAGAUAGUAGGCGGGGUAACGGCCCACCUAGUCUUCGAUGGAUAGGGGUUCUGAGAGGAAGGUCCCCCACAUUGGAACUGAGACACGGUCCAAACUCCUACGGGAGGCAGCAGUGAGGAAUAUUGGUCAAUGGGCGAGAGCCUGAGCCAGCCAAGUAGCGUGAAGGAUGACUGCCCUAUGGGUUGUAAACUUCUUUUAUAAAGGAAUAAAGUCGGGUAUGGAUACCCGUUUGCAUGUACUUUAUGAAUAAGGAUCGGCUAACUCCGUGCCAGCAGCCGCGGUAAUACGGAGGAUCCGAGCGUUAUCCGGAUUUAUUGGGUUUAAAGGGAGCGUAGAUGGAUGUUUAAGUCAGUUGUGAAAGUUUGCGGCUCAACCGUAAAAUUGCAGUUGAUACUGGAUAUCUUGAGUGCAGUUGAGGCAGGCGGAAUUCGUGGUGUAGCGGUGAAAUGCUUAGAUAUCACGAAGAACUCCGAUUGCGAAGGCAGCCUGCUAAGCUGCAACUGACAUUGAGGCUCGAAAGUGUGGGUAUCAAACAGGAUUAGAUACCCUGGUAGUCCACACGGUAAACGAUGAAUACUCGCUGUUUGCGAUAUACUGCAAGCGGCCAAGCGAAAGCGUUAAGUAUUCCACCUGGGGAGUACGCCGGCAACGGUGAAACUCAAAGGAAUUGACGGGGGCCCGCACAAGCGGAGGAACAUGUGGUUUAAUUCGAUGAUACGCGAGGAACCUUACCCGGGCUUAAAUUGCAGAUGAAUUACGGUGAAAGCCGUAAGCCGCAAGGCAUCUGUGAAGGUGCUGCAUGGUUGUCGUCAGCUCGUGCCGUGAGGUGUCGGCUUAAGUGCCAUAACGAGCGCAACCCUUGUUGUCAGUUACUAACAGGUUCCGCUGAGGACUCUGACAAGACUGCCAUCGUAAGAUGUGAGGAAGGUGGGGAUGACGUCAAAUCAGCACGGCCCUUACGUCCGGGGCUACACACGUGUUACAAUGGGGGGUACAGAGGGCCGCUACCACGCGAGUGGAUGCCAAUCCCCAAAACCUCUCUCAGUUCGGACUGGAGUCUGCAACCCGACUCCACGAAGCUGGAUUCGCUAGUAAUCGCGCAUCAGCCACGGCGCGGUGAAUACGUUCCCGGGCCU
rnacentral:rRNA from 1 species